rnacentral:sRNA from 1 species
CACCGCCUGGGGAGUACGACCGCAAGGUUAAAACUCAAAUGAAUUGACGGGGACCCGCACAAGUAGUGGAGCAUGUGGUUUAAUUCGAAGAUACGCGCAGAACCUUACCAACACUUGACAUGUUCGUCGCGACUCUAAGAGAUUAGAGUUUUCGGUUCGGCCGGACGAAACACAGGUGCUGCAUGGCUGUCGUCAGCUCGUGUCGUGAGAUGUUGGGUUAAGUCCCGCAACGAGCGCAACCCUUACUUUUAGUUGCUACCAUUUAGUUGGGCACUCUAAAAGAACUGCCAGUGAUAAGCUGGAGGAAGGUGGGGAUGACGUCAAGUCCUCAUGGCCCUUAUGUGUUGGGCUACACACGUGCUACAAUGGUAUUUACAGUGGGAUGCGAAGAGGCAACUCGAAGCCAACCCUCAAAAAAUACCUCAGUUCAGAUUGUACUCUGCAACUCGAGUACAUGAAGCUGGAAUUACUAGUAAUCGCGGAUCAGCGUGCCGCGGUGAAUACGUUCCCGGGUCUUGUACACACCGCCCGUCACACCAUGGAAGUUGGUUACACCUUAAGGCAAAGCAUAAAACCUUUGACUACGGUACGACCAGCGACUGGGGUGAAGUCGUAACAAGGUAGCCGUAGGGGAACCUGCGGCUGGAUCACCUCCUUUCUAAGGAAAUCGAAAAAUAUCAAAACAAUUAUUUUCGAUUUAAAAAAAACCGGUAAUGUGACCGUCCUCAUUUCUCUUCUUUUAAUGUCUCUGAGUAAAGAUAGUGUAAGGGGCCGGUAGCUCAGGUGGUUAGAGCGCACCCCUGAUAAGGGUGAGGUCGGAAGUUCGAGUCUUCCUCGGCCCACCAAUAUUAUGGGGGAUUAGCUCAGCUGGGAGAGCGCCUGAUUUGCAUUCAGGAGGUCAGCGGUUCGAUCCCGCUAUCCUCCACCAAAAUUUGAGACAUUUAGCUUUUUUAAAUUGUGAAUAUUACUAAUAUUAUCAAUAUCUAUAUCCGAUUGUUUUCAGAUAUUUUUUUGAAAACAAUCAAAACAAAAAUUUGAAUUUUUCACAGAAAGUUUUUUUCUG